rnacentral:rRNA from 1 species
ACGAGGCACUACGGUGCUGAAGCAACAAAUGCCCUGCUUCCAGGAAAAGCCUCUAAGCAUCAGGUAACAUCAAAUCGUACCCCAAACCGACACAGGUGGUCAGGUAGAGAAUACCAAGGCGCUUGAGAGAACUCGGGUGAAGGAACUAGGCAAAAUGGUGCCGUAACUUCGGGAGAAGGCACGCUGACAUGUAGGUGAAGUGAUUUACUCAUGGAGCUGAAGUCAGUCGAAGAUACCAGCUGGCUGCAACUGUUUAUUAAAAACACAGCACUGUGCAAACACGAAAGUGGACGUAUACGGUGUGACGCCUGCCCGGUGCCGGAAGGUUAAUUGAUGGGGUCAGCGCAAGCGAAGCUCCUGAUCGAAGCCCCGGUAAACGGCGGCCGUAACUAUAACGGUCCUAAGGUAGCGAAAUUCCUUGUCGGGUAAGUUCCGACCUGCACGAAUGGCGUAAUGAUGGCCAGGCUGUCUCCACCCGAGACUCAGUGAAAUUGAACUCGCUGUGAAGAUGCAGUGUACCCGCGGCAAGACGGAAAGACCCCGUGAACCUUUACUAUAGCUUGACACUGAACAUUGAGCCUUGAUGUGUAGGAUAGGUGGGAGGCUUUGAAGUGUGGACGCCAGUCUGCAUGGAGCCGGCCUUGAAAUACCACCCUUUAAUGUUUGAUGUUCUAACGUGGACCCGUGAUCCGGGUUGCGGACAGUGUCUGGUGGGUAGUUUGACUGGGGCGGUCUCCUCCUAAAGAGUAACGGAGGAGCACGAAGGUUGGCUAAUCCUGGUCGGACAUCAGGAGGUUAGUGCAAUGGCAUAAGCCAGCUUGACUGCGAGCGUGACGGCGCGAGCAGGUGCGAAAGCAGGUCAUAGUGAUCCGGUGGUUCUGAAUGGAAGGGCCAUCGCUCAACGGAUAAAAGGUACUCCGGGGAUAACAGGCUGAUACCGCCCAAGAGUUCAUAUCGACGGCGGUGUUUGGCACCUCGAUGUCGGCUCAUCACAUCCUGGGGCUGAAGUAGGUCCCAAGGGUAUGGCUGUUCGCCAUUUAAAGUGGUACGCGAGCUGGGUUUAGAACGUCGUGAGACAGUUCGGUCCCUAUCUGCCGUGGGCGCUGGAGAACUGAGGGGGGCUGCUCCUAGUACGAGAGGACCGGAGUGGACGCAUCACUGGUGUUCGGGUUGUCAUGCCAAUGGCACUGCCCGGUAGCUAAAUGCGGAAGAGAUAAGUGCUGAAAGCAUCUAAGCACGAAACUUGCCCCGAGAUGAGUUCUCCCUGAGACUUAGAGUCUCCUGAAGGAACGUUGAAGACGACGACGUUGAUAGGCCGGGUGUGUAAGCGCAGCGAUGCGUUGAGCUAACCGGUACUAAUGAACCGUGAGGCUUAACC